rnacentral:rRNA from 1 species
UGGGGGAUAUUGCACAAUGGGCGAAAGCCUGAUGCAGCGACGCCGCGUGGGGGAUGAAGGCCUUCGGGUUGUAAACUUCUUUUGCUCUGAACAAGGCAUGCCUUUGGGGUGUGUUGAGUGUAGGGGUUGAUUAGCGCCGGCUAACUACGUGACAGCAGCCGCGGUAAUACGUAGGGCGCGAGCGUUGUCCGGAAUUAUUGGGCGUAAAGGUCUUGUAGGUGGCUGGUUGCGUCUGUCGUGAAAGCUCAUGGCUUAACUGUGGGUUUGCGGUGGGUACGGGCUGGCUUGAGUGCAGUAGGGGAGGCUGGAAUUCCUGGUGUAGCGGUGGAAUGCGCAGAUAUCAGGAGGAAUACCGGUGGCGAAGGCGGGUCUCUGGGCUGUUACUGACGCUGAGGAGCGAAAGCGUGGGGAGCGAACAGG